AAGUCGUAACAAGGUUUCCGUAGGUGAACCUGCGGAAGGAUCAUUACCACCCUGGCUGCCGCCGCCGCGCGUGUCCUGGCCUCUCUCUGAUGAUGCUGGGGCACGUGUGUGCGCGCGCGUGGCCUCUCCCCCUUUAUCAACCAACCCUGUGAACGAUAAAUCCAAGGUCUUUUGGGAAGACCGCCGCACACCCUCCACAGUGUGUGGCACUUCCCGCUUUUACACGUAUUCGACCAUGAAGCAUUGUCAACCAAGGCGAUGUUAUAAGCACACAAACACAAACACAAAAAUUGAAACAACUUUCAACGGCGGAUCUCUUGGCUCGU
rnacentral:misc_RNA from 1 species